GGGGAUGUAGCUCAAAUGGUAGAGCAUGCGAGAGGUACAGGGUUCGAUCCCCUGCAUCUCCA
rnacentral:tRNA from 1 species